rnacentral:rRNA from 1 species
UACGGAGGGUGCAAGCGUUAUCCGGAUUUACUGGGUUUAAAGGGUGCGCAGGCGGAUAUGUAAGUCAGUGGUGAAAUCUUUAGGCUUAACCUGAAAAUUGCCGUUGAUACUAUAUAUCUUGAAUGUUGUGGAGGUAAGCAGAAUAUGUCAUGUAGCGGUAGAAAUGCUUAGAUAUGACAUAGAAUACCUAUUGCGAAGGCAGCUUACUACGCAGAUAUUGACGCUCAUGCACGAAAGCGUGGGGAUCAAACAGG